UUAAUGUUACAAUAUAGAAUAAAAUGUAUGUAAAGAGAAAAACAUCGAUCGGCGACUUAUUUACUUAGCUCAGGGCAUAUUGUAGUAAACGAAAUAUUAUCUCUCUUACUUGCGGUGAUAGCAUGGAUAAAACAUCGGUUUUAGUCAUUGGGCUGGUGCUACACUGAAGGCAGACAAGGCGAUCGUCAAGAGCAGGGUUUCUAAUUACAGGGGCGUGGACCAGUACCGAACAGCGGAUCAUCUUUUUAUACCGGACCACACAAUCAGCGAUUCGGUUCGCUACCGGGCGAGUCGUGUGUAUGGUGCUGAGGAGCUGACAGACAGCGAAAUAUCGAUGUCCAC